GACGAACGCUGGCGGCGUGCCUAAUACAUGCAAGUAGAACGCUGAAGGAGUAGCUUGCUCCUCUGGAUGAGUUGCGAACGGGUGAGUAACGCGUAGGUAACCUGCCUGGUAGCGGGGGAUAACUAUUGGAAACGAUAGCUAAUACCGCAUAACAGUAGAUGUUGCAUUACAUUUACUUAAAAGGUGCAAUUUCAUCACUACCAGAUGGACCUGCGUUGUAUUAGCUAGUUGGUGGGGUAACGGCUCACCAAAGCGAAGAUACAUAGCCGGCCUGAGAGGGUGAUCGGGCACUCUGGGACUGAAGCACGGACCAGCCUACUACGGGAGGGAGCAGUAGGGAAAUUUCGGCCAUGGACAGAAAUCUGAACGAGCAACGCCGCGUGGGUGAAGAAGGUUUUCGGAUCGUAAAGCUCUGUUGUUAGAGAAGAACGAGUGUGAGGGUAGAAAGUUCACACUGUGACGGUAUCUUACCAGAAAGGUACGGCUAACUACGUG
rnacentral:rRNA from 1 species